rnacentral:lncRNA from 1 species
CAGAAACAGAGAGAGCAGACCUGGUCUUGGGAAUUUUAAUUACAUGAGCCAGAAAUUCAUUCCUUAACUCAGUAUGAGUUGGGUUUUUCUGUCACUUGCCGUUAAAUCAAUUCUAAGACGAAAUCUACCCAGCUGUGAUCAUGUUCAGAAUGGGACAGUUUGUCAGAUGCGAGAGCCUUCUGUGUGCCGGGCACUCUGCUGGGCCCUGGGGACACCCAGGGAUCAAUAAAUCAGGGCUUCUCUGCAAAAGGAUGCUGCUCCAAACACGUGAACUUAUUUCUACCCUCCUACCGACAACUAUGGAAUCUCUGUUUUUUCUAAGCAAGAUGUCCUUUUAUAAAGACUUGUGUGGGUAAGGGGAAAAGACAGGAGGAGAGAAUCCUGGUUGUGUAUUGUUGCUAUAAUUUCUUAACUCCUAGAGAAAUAGCUAGCACUUUAAUAAAAUUUUCUUUUUAGACGUGAAGAAGGAGAAGUGCUGUUAUUAUUUAAAUGACAGCCUUAGGCAGCAGUCCUUGAAGAGAGAGAGACAGCCGGAGCCAGAGAGUGUUAACAGAACUACCCGGCUGAAGGUGACCUUGAAUACGCUUCCUCUUAUCUAGAAGGAUCUCUAAAAUGAGUUAAGACAUGUGGGCUUUGGAAUCAGACUGUUGGACUCAAAUCCCUGCCCUGCCACUUAAUUGCUCUAUCACCUUGGAUCUGGAUCUGGACUGGGAGGAGAGGAGAAAUGGAAGCUCAGAACUACUUAUCUGGUUAAUCAAGGAGGAAAGCAGAGAGUGUUUCUAAGCCCACAUGAGCGUUUCCAUGUUCAAUUUCGCACAUCUUAUUUAGCCUUGAAUUUUAGAUUUGCUGCCUUCAGUCUGUCUUGAAUUUUAUCACUUGAAGCUUCAACUGAGUACGCAGAAAAAAAACAACAAUCAAACCAAGUUCAGAGAAAUAUAUGAACAACUAAUAAACUAAGGUUUUUCUGAUGGAAA